AAUAGCUGUUACAGGCUGCUUGAGAAGAAAAAGAGGCUUAUUUAGCUCAGUUAGAGUCUCAGUAGCUUAGCACAGGCCCUGUGAUGACUGCCACUCCUUGGUUGCUCCAUCUCAUGGUGCAGACAGCAAUGGAUGGAGGGCACACAAGAGCAAUCAAGUGCUUCUACCUUGAACUAGGAGCAAAACAGAGCUGAGAGGUUGUGGUGGCUUCUCUCGGGCAUUCCCCAGGAGAAUCACUUGGAGUGUCGCAGCCCAGAAGCACUGACUCAGAUCCACUUGGGAAUGGCCUGGGAACUGGAACUUCUGACAAACAACCCAGAUGAUAUUGACGCAGUGCCUGGGGACACACUUCACAAAAUAGCGCCUGAGUGCAGUGUUAGAGCUUGGAAGACAGUGGGAACCUCUACAGGGCUAUUUUUAUCACAUGUUGCUCCCAACACUUCCCUUUGACAUCAGUGUGACCCUGCAUUCAAGUGUCACUGAAUGUUUCCGUGACAUUUUAAUGAGAGGCCACUGAUGAAGACACAAGAUGGAAACAGAACUCCCGACCUGAACACAUCCAUCUCUGACCACAGGUCACACCACCCAGUGCCAAACCAACCAGGAACAAGCAGCAUCCAGACUCUAAUGGUGAAAGACCCCCUACUGCCUAAGUAGGAACUUUUCCAACCCAGGCAUAUGCCCAGAGUAGCUCAGUACCACCAUAUAUGACCCUCUGGGGGUGCUGGUAGCAAGCAACACCACCAUUUUCAGAGUAUCAUGCUCAAAAGAAGCAACUACACCAGCACGGAACACCAUAAUAGGUGCAAACCAGGUGCUGUGUGCUGAGGGGGAGGAGCCAGAGAUCUAGAGGGCAUGGCCUUACCUCCCCAACCCAACAAAACCUAAUGUUUCGCUUCCAAUGAAGAGCCAGUCAGCAGAACCUCUUCCCGCCUUACCUAAGAUUGACCCCCCAGGGAAACUUAUGUGGGUUGAAUGCUGACUGCUUAUUAAUCUCCAUUGCAAGUGAGCCAAGUUGGUGUCCAUUCUAAAGACCACAUAGAGGCAGUCAGUCCCAUCUUUUCACCUCCAGCAAGGUAGGCCCUCCUCUAGUCACCCACAUCCAUUGGCCCUGGCUCCUGUAGCCCAAGCCCCAACAUCUCCUGCCUUGACCUCUGUGGUCACUGCCCAUCUCGCCUCCUCUCUUUCUGUCUCACACUUUCAGUCUUUCACCAUACUGAAGCCAAAACACAUUCAAAAUUUUUAACUUGGAUGAGUCAUUUCACCGCUCAGUUUGCUUUACUAAAGAUUUAUUUAUUUAAAGGCAGAGCAACAGAGACAGAGAGAAAUCUGUCUUCUGGUUCACUCCCUAAAUGGCUGCUACAACCAGGACUCAGUCAAGCAGAAGCCAGGAGCCAGGAACUCCAUCCAGGUCUCUCACAUAGGGGGCAGGGGCCCAAGCCCUCCAGCCAUCUUCCUCUGCCUUCCCAGGCACAUUAGCAGGAAGCAGAGCAGCUGGAACUUGAUACAGCACUCCUAUAUGGGAUGCUGGUGUUGCAAGACAUGGUUUAACCCACUGCACAACAAUGCCAGCCCCAGACUUAGCUUUCUCUAUUUAACCUUUCCAUUGAAUGACAAUAAACUGCCAAGGCCUUGUCAUGGCGACUGAGGGUCUCUGUGUUCAGGGACUCUCCCAAAUCUCCCAUCUCCCACUCUGUUCCAGCCCCUGCCUAUCUUCACCUUUCUUGAGCAUGUCAGCUCCUUCCUGUUUGGAGGCCUUCCUACCCAGCCCUUCCCAGCCUAAAGGCUGCCCUGCAUGAGAUGACUUCCCAGGUUACCCUUCUCCCCACCCAUGACCUCCCUGCCAAGUUGCUCUUGUUUACUGCCCAGAACUCCUCUUAGUCUGUGGUGGUUUUCUUUGUUGGGUUGAUUUUCUAUACUAGGAGGCAAGUCCUACAAGGUGGAGGACCAGGUACUGGUGAAUCCCAAGCUUCUAGAAAAGCCCUCUGGUACAGACUAGGCACAUGGACAACACUUGUGGAAUGGAUGGAUGAGCCUCUGAAGCCUCAUUGUUUUGUGACUCAAAGAUAAAAAUACGGCCUACUUCAUAGAGUUGUCAAAAGGAUUAAAUGAGAAAAUGCUAAGAGCUCAGUAAAUGUUAGCUUUAUUAUUACUCCAUUAAUAUAUCACUACCAACAUGGUACACUUAGUAAUACUAGUGCCAUUCUAACACAAUAUUACUACUAUUACAGUAGUAAUACAAUUAUUCUUGUCAACAGCCUUUAUGAGGCAGGUAAACUAACUACAACUUGUAGGUAAGGAGACAAAAAUCAGAAGUCCAAGGCCUGCUCAAGAUCACUUAGCUAAUACAUGCCGAGCUUGAAUUUUAGGAGCAAAGAGUUGCAAAUCGAUAAAGAUUUCAACCUUGGAUGAUUACAAGAAGGGUAUUACCAAUGACAUAGAUAAGACUUUUGGAGAGAGGCAGCUCUAAGAGUGGGUUGCUAAAUAUCCGAUGUAAAGAUGCCUUGUGGAAUGACUGGAGAUACAGACCUUUCACUCAGAUGAGAUCUCAGAAGCUGGAGGCUUGAGGGCAGGAUUUGGAGAGUUCAGCAUGAAGAAACAGAGCCCCUGAGUUGUGGUCCUAAUACCAGGCCUGGAUGCCUGCAAAGCGUCCCCUCCCCCUUCCCCAUCCCUGUCUCUCUCUCAACUGACAGAUGCUACAGGUUCUUCCCAUGGGCCUUCCCCUCUCUCGAAUGCACCCACCCUCACACCUCCCUAGCCCUCUAGAGACUGCCAUCCCCUUCAGUCUUCCCUCUUCCUUGAUCCCUCCCUACCACUUCCAUAUCGGCUUUGGAGGCUUGCUGUGACGCCCCUUAGA